GGUUACAAGAAUGCAAAUAAGAUGAUGAUUUGCUGGCACUAGCCUAUAAUGAUGAAGGUGGGAGCGGGAGACGUGAGGAAGUCCAAGAAAGAUAUGAAAAUAUGAUAUGACAUAUGUUAUAUUCUGUACUAUAUUUUAUUUGUAUUUUAAACUAUAAUAAACAUUUAUUAAAAAAAAAAGACAUAAUUGUUUCUGGCUUUAAAAAAAGUCUGGAAGCGAUGCUUUGCCACAUGCACCAUCUACUAUACCAUUGGUAGUGCACAGUUGAGGUUGAUUAAACCUUUUUAGUUGGCCAAUAAAUUGAACCAAACUGCUGCAUAGUUCAGGGACAAGUCUUCCCUUUCCAGUUCAUUUACCAGUAAGACAAUUGUUGUCUUGCCCCUAUAAAUCUGACAUUUAACUCAGUGGACAUUCCCUCUGUAAUGACAACUGGCAGUUUUAAGUGAGACCUUCACAGGUGGAUCUGCUCCCUGAAGCAAUUUUAUCUGAUCCAUGGCAGCACUAUCAAAUUUUAAUCAAAGUGUAGCUCAACAUUUGCCCACAGUUUUGCUCAAAAGGAAAAAGCAGAAUGUUUUCCAAGCUAUAUGGAAAAGAGAUAAGACCUACUUUAGUGUUACAUAUCACCUUGAAUGCCUAUUUAUAUCUGAGUAUGUGUGUGCUCCAUAUUCGUGAAAUCCUUAUUCUAGGUCAGAGGUAAGCAGGUUUCAGACUUGGGAAAAACUGUUUCUGUUUUUUACUACACUCCUUUUUUUGGUUACUUAUUACUACACUUAUAUCCCUUUUUUUUAAACUCCAAGUGAAGGCAGUCACUUGGAGUAGAAAACACACACACUUAGAAUUAAAGAUCUGUGAGCCCAGGAAUUUGCUCUGAGUAAUAGAACUGUUCAGGACUCGCAUUCCUUCCACACAAAAACUACCCUAGUUCCCCUAAGCUUUCUUCAUUUUGGCAGUAUAAUUUAAGGUUGGGGCCUUGUGGGGGAGGGGGAGUCGUUUUGUUGUUGCUCUUAUAAAGUAACUAGGCCUCAGAAAUCCUUGCUUGAUUUACAGCAAACGAUUCUCAAGAUGUAUUAAUAGAUCCCAAUCUACUUACUCACCCCCGUUCUAGAUGCGACUAGUUUUAUUAUCAAGUCUGACUGCUCACAAUGGAAGUCAAUUUGUGUGACCUCCACAUUUUGGAGAAUAGAGAAAACCAUAAGGCAGAGAGUAUAAAUGUGUAAAACUGCAAACUUUCCUCAGAGGAACUUGCCUAAGUAGGAAGACCCUCUGCUUGGUUUCUGCCUGUUGCUCCCAGCAAUAUUGCUUCAAAUAAAGACAGAUCUUUGCAACCCUGAAAUAAUUCCCAAAGACUGGUUUUCUUCCACACCAUCCCUGUGCUAGUAUUUUCAAUUAAUGGGGAAUGCAAUCAUUUUUUUAAAUUAUAAAAUGCUAUCAACCAAUGUAUGCUUUAAUACCUGCUGUUGGCUUUUAAGGAAAUAUUUGAAUAACCUCUUCCAUCAGAUAUGUGGAGGAAGAAAGUCUUCUUUCCCCCCUUUUUUUAAUACAAUCUAGGUCUUUACAUUUGCUAGCUAUAGCCCACUCUUUCAGCUAGUGCAAUAUGUUCUGCUGUUUACUGCAUCAGGUUUUACUGCAGACAAUAAAAAGUUUUUGAACUUUCAUGUCAGUACUGCUUUAGUAUAUAUUCGACAUAUCUUGGGAACUAACUUAAGACACACAGUAAAAAGAAGAAAGAAAUGUUUGUUUUAUCCACAUUACUUGGGCUAGAGCUUGAUCCAUACAAUGUCGCUUUAGAGCUUGUGCUUCACAUUGGUCUCCAAAGAGCUCUGUGCAUGCCCAAAGGCACCAUAUCUUUGCCAUUGCUUUAUAGAUUCCUGAGCCCUGCUAGGCUAGGUCUUAUCUUGGAAGAACCUGGCUGAAAUUAAACCAUUAAUGUUUGACCAGUUUAGACAGCUCUUUUUGUUAUUGCUCCUCCCCAAGUUCUGGAGAGUAGCCCAGGCUUUGAAGUGAAAACAGGGCCCUUUUCAGUGCCUUGGUUCAAAUUAAGGUCUGGACCAGCACCACCCCACCCCACUACAAUGUUCAUGAAGAAAGCCAGUGGGGAGUUUUUAUAUUUACUGUCUCUGCCCUGUUAGCAUCAAAUGGCCAUUUGCUAAUAGCAGCUGUGGUGGUGUGGCAUGAGUUUUGUUUGAAAUGUGAUAGAGAAAGGAAGGGUUAAAUCUCCAUAGCCCUGACCCUGUUUGGGGUCCUACAUACAUGUCAUUUCAGAUACAUAUGUACCGGUAACUUUGACACAUUUAGUGCUUCCUGUGGUUUGGCUCUUGAUCUGCAAUUCUGAAUUUCUUUUCUUGACACAUGAACCGAAACAAUAAGAUAUAUACAACUUGGACCAAGCAUGCUGCCUCACUUGCUUAAAGUGAGUGGUUUUACAGACUUGGAAAUCCUACACAGCUGGUACUGAUGACUUCAUAGCAAGACUCCUAGUGUUGCCAUCUCAAAUGUCAAUUGUCCCCCAAAACUGCUGACAAGGAAGCUCAAAACACCACAGUUCCCUUAAUGCCUUAGUUCCUCCCAGUCAUAGCUUCUAUUAUGUCAGCUUUUCUGUUUCAGGAUUUCUUUGCUACUAUUAGGACUUGUGCUUAAAAUGAAAUAAAAAACCCCUAUAAAGGUUAAGAAAUCAAUGAAGUAAAAAUAAAAAUUAAAGCUGUGAGGAGAUAGCAAUAGCAUUGUCUGGUCUGAGAAACAUUGCUUCUGUGCAUGCACAAAGUACUACUAAACAGCUGGAUUUUCAGAUGGCAACAGACUUCAGACUUUCCUCAGCUGCCAGCACAUUAUUAUUUUUCUUUUUAUAAAUGAAGCCUCUUCAUCACAACCAGUAAUGAAUAUACAGACUUUCAGGGUUUUAUUAUUAUUAUUAAAUUAAAACAUGUCCCCAUACAAACACCCCAUGAACUUCACCCUCAAGUAACUCAGUGAUUGAAUGGAAUCAUCCAGGCCCCAGUAAAACAAGAGAGAGUGUAAAGCCUCAUAAAUAACAAACAAAAGUCCAGAGAGACAAAGAAAUCCUGAUAACAGGAUUUCCUGAGGAAACUGAGCGAAAACAGUAUAUAAUUUGAAGGGAAAGGCACAGAGAGAUUUUGUCUUUCUUGCUUUGUACAUUGCAGGACAACAUUCAUUUGCUACCCUGGGCUCCUUCAGGAGGGAGGGCUGGAUAUAAUUUCAACAAAUAAUAAAUAAUUCAACCAAACAGAGUGGAAAAGUUCCCUCACAACUACCCAACCAAUCAGAGCACCCUUUACCUCAGCGCGCACUAGGCCGUUCCGACUGAUUGCUAAGCCACACAUCCUCCCAUCCCCCUCUCAGCUAGUUGACUUUAAUGUUACUAAUUUUUAAGUCACACAUGAAAUCAUCUCUGCUGUUAUGCUUGCAACAGUGGGAUUGUGUGUGUCCUGAAGCCCUGGCCUACCUGGCAGCAAGUGAGUAUGUCAAGUCCAAAGUCCCGGGAUCAAGCCACACAAGCAAAGCUCAGGAAACACAACCCAGAGUCAAUCCAAGUAACCAAGUCCCACACUCAGGAUACAGUCCAGAGUCAAACCUAAAGCACAGUCCCGUAGAGGUUGAGGAACAUCCAAGCUCCAUCAACAUGAGCAAUUGAGCAGAUCCAGCACCUCAGCUCUGCUGCCCUUCCACACUGGGUAUGUUGUUUGCAGCAUCUGAGCUUGAUGAGGGAGCUGACCCUCACCUGUUUUGAGGAAUGGCAAACCUCCUCCCAGAGCUAGUGAGCCCCACCUGGCCAGCUAGGGAGCUGGGCUGUGGGGCCCUGCCUGCCUUGGCCUCCUACAGUGCUGCUCCCUAUGCCUCAGAGCCAAUGCCUUCUCUUCUUCUACUUCCAUGCAAUAAGAAACUGCUGUGCCCAAGGGAACUCCAGCCUAUGAGUUCUGCUUCUGAUUGAAGAAGGCUAUUUGAAUCUCCAUUUUCUUUGAAGAAGGCAGCCUAGAACAGGAACUGACUCACCUGCAAUGUUGUUCUGAGGAUCAUUAAAACUAUUCGGAUUCAGGAGUUUGGGGCUGAAACAAUGCAGCAUCUAGUCUGGGACACCUUGUUUUAAGGACGUGUUGCUUUUAUGUGAACUAAAAGAGCUACUUUGAAACCAGAGGUCAAUUUUCAGUUACUUGAUAGCCACUGAACAAUGAGGCCAGACUGCAAGUGAGCAGAUGAAAUCGAGAACGUUUCAGGAUCUGAAGGGUCUUCCUGGAACAGCAUAAUAAGACUGCAACCCAGGCCUUUUACAUUACACAUUCACUUUCAUGGUUUGGGAUUUAACAGAACUCCACAGUUUGGAAACGUUUUCUGAGGAAUGAAAGUUUUGAACAGCAGCGGCUUUUUAAGCAGCCUUUCAACACCCAAGGAAGAGAACAAAGCCAUGUCUGUUCAAGCAGCAGACCUCAUUAACGGCGAGACCCACAGUAGCUCACACUGUUCGGAAAACAGUGCCUGUGUCAAGAAGUAUCUCUCUGGAGGUGUGGUCAAGAGGUGCCAGGUAAAAAUCUUUUGCAUUGGAGUGAAAGAGCAUGUGAUGAUCAAGGAUGCUGUGGGGACUCACUGGCUUCCCAAGCAGAGCAGAGCCCAGCAACGCUUCAUUUCUACCUGGAAGGGGCUGCAAGGAACGGACAGGAAUACAAAGCAUGAUAUUUGCAAGAGAUUUUUGUUGUCCUCAAAAGAUCACCCUCCGCAGAGAAGAAAAGAAAUCAUUUCUUAUUCAGGUAAAGACAAUCGUUUUUUGUCUGUGGGGAUUUU